ACUUAAGCAUAUCAAUAAGCGGAGGAAAAGAGACUACAGGAUUCCCCUAGUAACUGCGAGUGAAGCGGGAAGAGCUCAAAUUUAAAAUCUGGCAGUCCUUUGGGCCUGCCCGAGUUGUAAUCUAGAGAAGUGCUUUCCGCGCUGGGCCGUGUACAAGUCUCUUUGAAUGGAGCAUCAUAGAGGGUGAGAAUCCCGUCUUUGACACGGACUGUCCAGGGCUUUUUGCGAUGCACUUUCAAAGAGUCGAGUUGUUUGGGAAUGCAGCUCAAAAUGGGUGGUAAAUUCCAUCUAAAGCUAAAUAUUGGCGAGAGACCGAUAGCGAACAAGUACCGUGAGGGAAAGAUGAAAAGAACUUUGAAAAGAGAGUUAAACAGUACGUGAAAUUGUUGAAAGGGAAACGUUUCAAGUCAGUCGCGUUGGCUGGUAAUCAACCUUUGCAAUUCUUGCUAGGCUUACUUUCCAGUUGACGGGUCAGCAUCAAUUUUGACUGUCAGAUAAAGGCAAGGAGGAACGUGGCAUCUUUGGAUGUGUUAUAGCCUCUUGUCACAUGUGGCGGUUGGGAUUGAGGAACUCAGCAUGCCAAUUUAUUGGGUCGGGGCUUUUGGCUCACGUAACAUGCUUAGGAUGCUGGCAUAAUGGCUUGAACCGACCCGUCUUGAAACACGGACCAAGGAGUCUAACAUGCCUGCAAGUGUUUGGGUGGAAAACCCGAGCGCGAAGUGAAAGUGAACUUGGUCGAGAUCCCUGUCGUGGGGAGCACCGACGCCCGGACCAGACCUUUUGUGACGGAUCUGCGGUUGAGCAUGCAUGUUGGGGACCCCGAAAAGAUGGUGAACUAUGCCUGAAAUAGGGUGAAGCCAGAGGAAACUCUGGUGGAGGCUCGUAGCGAUUCUGACGUUGCAAAAUCGAUCGGUUCGAAUUUUGGGUAUAGGGGGCGAAAGGACUUAAUCCGAACCCAUCUAAGUAAGCCUUGGGUUCCUGCCCGAAAGUUUCCCCCUCCAAGGAAAA
rnacentral:rRNA from 1 species